UAGUGCUGAAAUUUUCUUUCAUCUUUUCAUACAUCUCUUUAUGAAGCUCCUUAUCCGCAAAUUCAGUUGACAUUUGUUUGGACAGAAAUUUCUGGGUCGAUGCGUAUCGAUUUGAAUUCUUAUAUUCCUAUUUGUCAUUUUGGCUAAAAUUAGCACACAAGAUCUGAUUUCUUGCGGCAGCUUAUCUAUAUUGUUUUUUCAUGUUGGUAGUGCAGUUCAUUCGGUAGUACUUUUUACUUGAAAUUGAAUUUAUUGGCAGAUGUUUAGUGCUGGCUCGAUUAAACUAACUGAUAUUUCUGCACGUACUGACCUAAUCUAAGGCAAGGUGAGUAUUUAUUCGCAAAAUAUGUCUUAUAUUUCUUGAAAUUAAGAUGUCUUUCGCUCCUUUCAGCUCUAACUUAAUUGGUUUCAUGUUUUCUAUCUAUCUUUUAACUGAAUUGAUAUUUGAGGGUAAUCUCUUUUGUCCUUUUGAACCAUAAAAUGUAGGAUAUUUCAGGACAAUCUCUUUUGUUCUUUCGAAUCAUAAAACUUGUCCCAAAAAAGAGUUCACCAAUCUUAGAAUGUUAUCCUGGUUUCAAAGUUUUGGUGGUCAAAGUUCCUAAGUUCAUAUAUGGCGGGGGACCACAACUUCUGUUGUUUCUGAUAAAGUGAUACAAUAUUAAAUGAUACAAUGUGUCAUAGUUUUUUGGCUCUUUUGUUGUUCUCUUUUUAUUGGUGCCAUAUGCUUCAUGAGUUGUGGUAAAUUAUUAAGUGCAAUAGAUUGGGGAGCCACCAUCUUAAUUACUACUUGUAUACGAAAUGGAGAUGCAUGUAUUAAAUUGCAUUUCGAGUCUGAUAAUCUGUCACCUUUAAAAUGUCUUGCUCAUUGUUGGAUAAUGUCUUUUUUUAAGAUGAAAUGAUUAUCUAAUACUAGAAAAUUUAUUCGUUUAGGUUUCAGACGCAUCCAGCGCUCGUAAUAUGCAUCAAUAAUCUCGUUGCCCUUCAGGUUCAACAUCUUAAUUGCCGAGCUCACUAAGACUGGAUCUGAUAUGAUAUUAUUAGUUUUUGUUUUUAUUUCUCUUUCUCUAGGGUUAAAAAGCUAGAAAUUGUUGGUACUGUGAUUUAGUGACUAAAUACUCAUUUAAAGAUAUAUGGAUAGUACUGUGAGACAUUUUGGUAUAUAUGACUACAAAACUUCUUUUA